UACGUAGGGCGCAAGCGUUGUCCGGAAUUAUUGGGCGUAAAGAGCUCGUAGGCGGCCUGUUACGUCUGCUGUGAAAUCCCGGGGCUUAACCCCGGGCGUGCAGUGGAUACGGGCAGGCUGGAGGCAGGCAGGGGAGAACGGAAUUCCCGGUGUAGCGGUGAAAUGCGCAGAUAUCGGGAGGAACACCGGUGGCGAAGGCGGUUCUCUGGGCCUGUACUGACGCUGAGGAGCGAAGCGUGGGAGCGAACAGG
rnacentral:rRNA from 1 species